rnacentral:pre_miRNA from 1 species
GAGGGUAACUAAGAGUCCCGGUUUGCCCAGUACUGUGGGGUUUCCUGGGGCUCACACCAGGAAAGUCCUGGGCAAACCGGGUCUGUCGGUCACCCUGGUACCAC